rnacentral:rRNA from 1 species
UAGGGAAUCUUCUGCAAUGGACGAAAGUCUGACCGAGCAACGCCGCGCGAGUGAAGAAGGUUUUCGGAUCGUAAAACUCUGUUGUUAGAGAAGAACAAGGACGUUAGUAACUGAACGUCCCCUGACGGUAUCUAACCAGAAAGCCACGGCUAACUACGUGCCAGCAGCCGCGGUAAUACGUAGGUGGCAAGCGUUGUCCGGAUUUAUUGGGCGUAAAGCGAGCGCAGGCGGUUUCUUAAGUCUGAUGUGAAAGCCCCCGGCUCAACCGGGGAGGGUCAUUGGAAACUGGGAGGCUUGAGUGCAGAAGAGGAGAGUGGAAUUCCAUGUGUAGCGGUGAAAUGCGUAGAUAUAUGGAGGAACACCAGUGGCGAAGGCGGCUCUCUGGUCUGUAACUGACGCUGAGGCUCGAAAGCGUGGGGAGCAAACAGG